rnacentral:rRNA from 1 species
UACGAAGGGGGCUAGCGUUGCUCGGAAUCACUGGGCGUAAAGCGCACGUAGGCGGCUUUUUAAGCCAGGGGUGAAAUCCUGGAGCUCAACUCCAGAACUGCCUUUGAUACUGAGAAGCUUGAGUCCGGGAGAGGUGAGUGGAACUGCGAGUGUAGAGGUGAAAUUCGUAGAUAUUCGCAAGAACACCAGUGGCGAAGGCGGCUCACUGGCCCGGUACUGACGCUGAGGCACGAAAGCGUGGGGAGCAAACAGG